GAUGAACGCUGGCGGCGUGCCUAAUACAUGCAAGUCGAGCGAACGGACGAGAAGCUUGCUUCUCUGAUGUUAGCGGCGGACGGGUGAGUAACACGUGGAUAACCUACCUAUAAGACUGGGAUAACUUCGGGAAACCGGAGCUAAUACCGGAUAAUAUUUUGAACCGCAUGGUUCAAAAGUGAAAGACGGUCUUGCUGUCACUUAUAGAUGGAUCCGCGCUGCAUUAGCUAGUUGGUAAGGUAACGGCUUACCAAGGCAACGAUGCAUAGCCGACCUGAGAGGGUGAUCGGCCACACUGGAACUGAGACACGGUCCAGACUCCUACGGGACGCAGCAGUAGGGAAUCUUCCGCAAUGGGCGAAAGCCUGACGGAGCAACGCCGCGUGAGUGAUGAAGGUCUUCGGAUCGUAAAACUCUGUUAUUAGGGAAGAACAUAUGUGUAAGUAACUGUGCACAUCUUGACGGGACCUAAUCAGAAAGCCACGGCUAACUACGU
rnacentral:rRNA from 1 species